CAUAGUCGCACGGCACAUUCCGAUCGCAGCUUGGGCAUAAGUAACGGGCCGCGUAGUGCGCAUGUUACUAACAUCGCCGCCAUCUUGUGCAACUGCUUUCACUUGGCGACUGUGCUCGAUGUUAGGCGCAACUUGCUUUUCCAAGUUAUCUGCGAAUACUUGGUGACUCAGUUAACCUGUGCUUGCUUUGACAAAGCAACAUUGGAAAACGUGACUAUAGUGCAGUUAGUGAUUUCAAAGUAAAGAGAGUAAUUCUCACCCACAGUGUUUUCAAUGAUUCAUCUUUAUAUACUCACAUGCAGGAUCAAUAAGAGUACGCUGUGCAUAAGAACAUGGCACGAGUUAAGCUAUAUGAAAGAGCUGUAAACGCUGUUCAUAUCAUGACCCAUACAGGUGAAGUAAGUACUUUAGCAUAUAUACACAAUAUUUUUACAGUUAUAUUCCUUAGCAUAUGUUACAAAAAAGUGUAGUGUCCAUAUUUUAUACUUAGCGUCUUAAUUAGUAGCGUCUUAAUAAAUUUACUGGUGAGUCUUA